rnacentral:rRNA from 1 species
CCUACGGGUGGCAGCAGUGGGGAAUAUUGCGCAAUGGGCGAAAGCCUGACGCAGCGACGCCGCGUGAGUGAUGAAGGUCUUCGGAUCGUAAACCUCUGUCAGCAGGGAAGAACGGUCACUGUGCUAAUCAGCUGUGAAUUGACGGUACCUGCAAGGAAGCACCGGCUAACUUCGUUCCAGCAGCCGCGGUAAUACGGAGGGUGCGAGCGUUAAUCGGAAUUACUGGGCGUAAAGCGCUCGUAGGCGGUAUGUCAAGUCAAGGGUGAAAUCCCCGCGCUCAACGUGGGAACUGCCUUUGAAACUGGCAAGCUGGAGUGUGUUAGAGGAGAGUGGAAGUCCAGGUGUAGGAGUGAAAUCCGUAGAGAUCUGGAGGAACAUCAGUGGCGAAGGCGACUAUCUGGCACAUGACUGACGCUGAGGAGCGAAAGCGUGGGUAGCAAACAGGAUUAGAUACCCCAGUAGUC